rnacentral:rRNA from 1 species
GACAGAGGUGCCAAGCGUUAGGCGGAAUCACUGGGCUUAAAGCGUGUGUAGGCGGAUGCCUAAGUACCUUGUGAAAUCCCACGGCUCAACCGUGGAACUGCUGGGUAUACUGGGUGUCUUGGGUCAGCUAGGGGUUGCCGGAACAAAUGGUGGAGCGGUGAAAUGCGCAGAUAUCAGGAGGAACACCGGUGGCGAAGGCGGUGGUCUGGGCCGGCACUGACGCUGAGGAGCGAAAGCGUGGGUAGCAAACAGG